rnacentral:rRNA from 1 species
AUUGAACGCUGGCGGCAGGCCUAACACAUGCAAGUCGAACGGUAACAGGAAGCAGCUUGCUGCUUCGCUGACGAGUGGCGGACGGGUGAGUCAUGUCUGGGAAGCUGCCUGAUGGAGGGGGAUAACUACUGGAAACGGUAGCUACUACCGCAUAAUGUCGCAAGACCAAAGAGCGGGACCUUCGAGCCUCUUGCCAUCGGAUGUGCCCAGAUGGGAUUAGCUUGUUGGUGGGGUCACGGCUCACCAAGGCGACGAUCUCUAGCUGGUCUGAGAGGAUGACCAGCCACACUGGAACUGAGACACGGUCCAGACUCCUACGGGAGGCAGCAGUGGGGAAUAUUGCACAAAGGGCGCAAGCCUGAUGCAGCCAUGCCGCGUGUAUGAAGAAGGCCUUCGGGUUGUAAAGUACUUUCAGCUGGGAGGAAGGGAGUAAAGUUAAUACCUUGGCUCAUUGACGUUACCCGCAGAAGAAGCACCGGCUAACUCCGUG